rnacentral:rRNA from 1 species
AAUGAACGCUGGCGGCAGGCCUAACACAUGCAAGUCGAACGGAUCCUUCGGGAUUAGUGGCGGACGGGUGAGUAACGCGUGGGAACAUACCCUUUGGUACGGAGUAGCCUCGGGAAACUGGGAGUAAUACCGUAUGUGGUCGAGAGACGAAAGAUUUAUCGCCAAAGGAUUGGCCCGCGUUGGAUUAGGUUGUUGGUGGGGUAAUGGCCUACCAAGCCGACGAUCCAUAGCUGGUUUGAGAGGAUGAUCAGCCACACUGGGACUGAGACACGGCCCAGACUCCUACGGGAGGCAGCAGUGGGGAAUCUUAGACAAUGGGGGAAACCCUGAUCUAGCCAUGCCGCGUGAUCGAUGAAGGCCUUAGGGUUGUAAAGAUCUUUCAGGUGGGAAGAUAAUGACUGUACCACCAGAAGAAGCCCCGGCUAACUCCGUGCCAGCCGCCGCAGUAA